AACAGUGAAGAAAACACGAAGACCUACACAAUGCUUGAAGAUUCAUGCAAGACAGUUGGAAGAUAGAGAAGAAAUUACUCUAGAUAUUGAAGGAGAGGCAAUUGGUCCUACUGAUAAAGCUGUAAACAACUUAAGCAAAUUUUUGGGCACAGUGGCAAGGAAUUCAGAUUUUUGUCCAUUAAUUUACACAAAUUGAAAGGGGAUUAAAGAUAAAGAAGCCAUUUGGGAAUAUGUUCAAGCUAAAUUCAUUAUUCCAACUGAAGGAAAGAGGAUAGUCCUUGCUCGUAUCAAUGACAA